rnacentral:rRNA from 1 species
UGGGGAAUAUUGGGCAAUGGGCGCAAGCCUGACCCAGCAACGCCGCGUGAGGGAAGAAGGUUUUCGGAUUGUAAACCUCUGUCCUUGGUGACGAAGGAAGUGACGGUAGCCAAGGAGGAAGCCCCGGCUAACUACGUGCCAGCAGCCGCGGUAAUACGUAGGGGGCGAGCGUUGUCCGGAAUUACUGGGCGUAAAGGGUGAGUAGGCGGUUUUUUAAGUUGGAUGUGAAAUACCCGGGCUUAACUUGGGGGGUGCAUUCAAAACUGGAGAACUAGAGUACAGGAGAGGAAAGCGGAAUUCCUAGUGUAGCGGUGAAAUGCGUAGAUAUUAGGAGGAACACCGGUGGCGAAGGCGGCUUUCUGGACUGAAACUGACGCUGAGGCACGAAAGCGUGGGGAGCAAACAGG